CAAGAACAGCUUCUUCCCAACAACCAUCAGGCUGUUGAACACUGCACAACACCAACCUCAGCGACUGUGAUCUUCUGUGGACUGUGUCUCUGGUUGCUCAACAGACUCCUGU